rnacentral:rRNA from 1 species
GGCCCACCAAGGCGACGAUCAGUAGCCGGCCUGAGAGGGCGGCCGGCCACAUUGGGACUGAGACACGGCCCAGACUCCUGCGGGAGGCAGCAGUGGGGAAUAUUGCACAAUGGGGGAAACCCUGAUGCAGCGACGCCGCGUGAGCGAUGAAGUAUCUCGGUAUGUAAAGCUCUAUCAGCAGGGAAGAAAGUGACAGUACCUGACUAAGAAGCCCCGGCUAACUACGUGCCAGCAGCCGCGGUAAUACGUAGGGGGCAAGCGUUAUCCGGAUUCACUGGGCGUAAAGGGAGCGCAGGCGGCACGGCAAGUCUGGUGUGAAAACCCGGGGCUCAACCCCGGGACUGCAUUGGAAACUGCCGGGCUGGAGUGUCGGAGGGGUAAGCGGAAUUCCUAGUGUAGCGGUGAAAUGCGUAGAUAUUAGGAGGAACACCAGUGGCGAAGGCGGCUUACUGGACGAUGACUGACGCUGAGGCUCGAAAGCGUGGGGAGCAA